GACGUAGGGCGCGAGUCGUUGUCCGGAUUUGAUUAGGGCGUGAAAGAGCUCGGUAGGCGGCUUGUUGCGUACGACUGUGAAAACCUGACGGCUCAACCGUGUGGUCUGCAGUCGAUACGGGCAGGCGUGGAGUUCGGAUAGGGGAGACUGGAAUUCCUGGAUGUAGCGGUGAAAUGCGCAGAUAUCGGGAGGAACAUCAGUGGCGAAGGCGGCUACCUGGCCCAAUAC
rnacentral:rRNA from 1 species